UCCCCUCCCUUUCUUCCUGCCCCAAACAAGUCCAUGCAGGCCCAAAGAACAUGGAGAGGCCAUCAGGACAGACAAGGGCGGUCUUUCCCUUCUGCUCACAAAUGCUGGGGAAGCAUAAAGCGAGCAGAGGCUCUAUCAGUCUUGGGGUGGGGCCAAAGCACAGGCCCGAGCUCAGCUGGCCAGGCCAAAGGCAGCCGCUGGCUCUCCACGCUUCCCCCUGGGGACUUCUCCUCACCCCCGAUUUAGACAGCAGAGCAAAUGGGCAAUGUGCAUGGAGCUGGGAAUGUGACAACAAAACCAAAACGACUUUGCAUUCCCAAGCACUUCAGGAGGAGGCAGAGAGAGAGUGCAGAAAAGAUUUUCUUCCCAACUGCAGGACGAGGUGUCAGAACUGCUGGCCUUGAGGAGAGACCAUUACUUUAAAGGGAUGUUGGCAAACACUUUCUGCUGAACAUGUCAACUUGGGUACUCACCUUCUCCCCUCACUCCCCGCCCCAGUUAGCAGAGGGAUGAAGAUACCACAUGAACUGGAUUUGUCUGCAAAAACGAUCUGAGCUCUGCACAAGGAAGGACAAGAAUGGAUGAGGAAAGAAAAGAGGACACAGGCAGAGAGAACCAUUAGCAGGUCAUUUGGAAGCAAAUCCAGCUGUCCGUGCCAGUACCUGACGCCAGUUGAUACCACUGAUACCAUGCCAGGCAAGGUUACAGCAAGGUGAGGAAGUAUUAGAAUAAAAUUGCUCGCGCUGGUCUGCUUUGAGUACUCCCCCUGGUAUGACCACACCCACCGUGGGUGGUUCGUUCUGGAUCUGUGUUAGGAAUGGAUGUAUUCCUACUCAAAACACAACAAAACACUAAUUGUCAACUACAUCCCCCCGCCAAGCCCCACCUGAUGAAAUCUCGUCCACCCAACAAAUCUCAUCUCGAAUGCCACCUCCCCUGUCACGUUUCUCUGGACUCUUCUCCAAGCACAUGUUUUCACUCUCUCUUGAACAUCUACCCCCUUCCGAGGAUACUUAUCCUGCUCUGCAUGGUACAGCUGCCGUCUCUUUGCCUUAUCCCCUAUUUGAGUUUAAGUCCCUUGAAAGCAGAGAUCAGUCUUAUCUCUACAUUUCUUAUAGGCCAAGUGCAGGGCAUCGGGCUUAGAAGCUCAAUAAAAACGCGUUGAGUUGCAGUGAAUCAUGACCCACCCUGGCUAGCGGGCCCUCAGCCAGUUUUAGAGUCCAGAACACAAUGGGUCCUUGUGUUCCCUGCUGUGCACACCCACAAACAUAUACUAAACACCUGCAAACACGGGGGACACUUAGUUACUUGGCAAAUCCUCUCCCUCCCAGGGUGUCUCAUUUUUUGAAAAGGCUGCUCUGACAGCUGGCCUGCUGCUGGUUAGAUGGGGCCCUCCCUGGAAUAGCCCAUCACUGCAGCGAACGGCCAAGUUCACUGUGCCAGGAACCAAGAAAAGAGAAGGGUCCAAGGAGAAGAGUCUCGAUGCCAAGAAUGUGCUCUCAAAUUCAGAGUGGAGAGGGAAGCAGGGAGCACUGCCGUGGAGGGAAGCUUCCUCCCUCUCCUGCCCUCUUCUCCUUCUCUAUGGGCAGGGGUCUGGCAGAGGGGCCACUGUGCAGGGGUCCAGGGAGAUGCUGGGGCAGCAACAUUGGCUGCUCUUUAUUAAAUACAAAUGGCACGGUGCAGUUCCAGGAACUUUGGUGGAAAGCUGAUCCCCCCAAACCCUCAGGACAUCUCUCAGUUCUUGAAAGGAUUAUUAUCUUUACUGGUAUUAUGACUUACAAAGUCUGCGUCAUUUUUAAAAAGUCUUCUUAAAGAAAAUGGUAGAGUAAGCAUAAACAUGUGGCUUCUAGAACAUGUCCCGAGAUGCUGCUUGCUUCACAAGAAUGACAUAACCUGUUGGAUUUUGGUUGGGCACAAGGCAGAAGGGAUCAGGCUUCUCCUCGAAGCUGAGGCGGGGGUUGCCAGAUUUAGCAAAUAAAAAUACAGGACAACCAGUUCAAUUUGAAUUUCAGAUAAAUGAUGAAAAUUGUUUUUGUAAGAGUAUGUCCCAAAUAUUGCAUGGGACAUACUUAUACCAAAGCAACAUUUGCUGUUGAUCUCAAAUUCAAGUUGAAUGGAUUAUCCUGUAUUUUAUCAGGCAACCCAGAGCCCAGGGAGAGUCAGGACAGUAAAGAGAUUUUACCAACAAAAGCUUCUUUUAAAAGCCCCAGCUGAAUGGCUUUGGACGACAUUUCUAUUCAGGCCCUGCAUUUUCCCUGGAGUGCGAGCUCAACGUCAUCGACCAACAAUUGGGAGAAUGAGUGUUCAGUGAACAUUCCGCCCCCUUCCUUGCCCUUAGCAGCCUGUGGCAAAGUGCUCCCCCUCAACCAGCUAGGGAGGAAAAAGCUUUCUCUUUUAAGAUGGCUCUUCCCUCCCAUCUACAGAUUGGAUUGUUUCUUGGGUUUGCUGGAGAGCUGCUGGGCUAAUUGCUUGCAGACCACAGUCCAACCAGGCCUGCCAACUAUGGAGGCUGCGUGCUGGGGCUGGGACAUAAAGAGUAAGGGGUCUGGAGUUCGGCAGACCUGGCUGGCAAUUCUGCCUCUGCCUUUUCCUGCCUGUGCCACCUCGGCUGAGUUGCUUACCCUCUCUGGGUCCCAGUUUCUGCACUGAUGAAAUGAGGGUACUCAUGGGGGGUAAAGUAGGAGAGACAUGAGACUGGAGCACAUAUGGCACUCAUCACAGUGCCCGACACAGUGUAGGUGCUCCCUUAAUACGAGUCCUUGUUAAUAUCGCUGCCUGUCUUUUCUGUGCCACACCUGGAAUUGAGUUUCCUCAAGUCUGGACCUUGGAAAUGCAGGAACACAGAUGUUAGAAGGUCGUCAAACCCUGUACACCAGGAGGUGUGACUUGGGGGAAAGACGGGUCCAUCGCGGUCCCUGCAGCCCCGCCUCCUUCAGUCCUACGGCACCUGGCCCACUGACCACUUGUCAAGUCAGUGAUCACAUCACCAGAAGUUCGAUCCCUGUGGAAAGCAUUACUGAAUUCACCAGGACCUGGUUCUGCUCCCGUUCCCAUCAUGUGGAAGAUGGUUCUUCUCAGUGCACCUGCUCUUCUGCGAGCACGAGGAAGCAAUACAUUCUUGUCAGGCCACCCAGAGGGAGGGGCUGUUUGUCAUCAUAUCCUCAUCCUAUCCUUGCUAACAGAGAGACGACAGAAAGAAAGAGCAGGAGACCCAAGCAUGUUAAGAAGACGGACAGAGUCUGUAACGAGGAAGGACCUGAAGAAGACAAAGUAGCGUCCUGCAGAGAGCAGGAAGUAUGGCGGUGCACAAGCCCAGCUGCAGGCCUGUGCCCUUCUUCCUCCAGGAAAGAAGUAUAAAUCCAGGCCCAAGAAACAUGAUUUGAAGUCCUAGCUGGAGCUGAGAUGUCAUGAGUCUUAACCGAAAUUCUUCCCCAUCUACAUCCGGAGGCAUAAGAUACUAUUGUCCCAUUUUGCAGUUGGGAAACCGAAGCUCAGAAAGAUUAAAUGAUGUGUCCAGUCCUCGGUUCUGAUAGCAGCUCUGUCACGUACUGCCUGCGUGAACUGGGCUCAGUCACCUGCUCCGACUCGCACUCUUAGUUUCCGCUCUGUAAGCGUGGGUUAAAAUGGUGUUCCUUGCUGACGGUCGUGUGUGCUAAAUUGUACGUACUGGAGUGCCUGGGUGGCUCAGUCGUUAAGCUCUGCCUUCGGCUCAGGGCGUGAU